rnacentral:misc_RNA from 1 species
GUAGGUGAACCUGCGGAAGGAUCAUUAGAGAUUCGUGGCGAAAGCCACAUACACACACACACACCGUGAACCGUGGGCCUCGGCCCCAUUACAAACUAUGUUGUAUUAGAACGUGAUCAUAUGUAACAAUGAAAAAACUUUCAACAACGGAUCUCUUGGCUCUC